rnacentral:rRNA from 1 species
AGGACGAACGCUGGCGGCGUGCUUAACACAUGCAAGUCGAGCGGUAAGGCUCCUUCGGGAGUACACGAGCGGCGAACGGGUGAGUAACACGUGAGUAAUCUGCCCUUCACUUCGGGAUAACCGCCGGAAACGGUGGCUAAUACCGAAUACGACGCGCUUUCGCAUGAGAUGCGCGUGGAAAGUCUUAUCGGUGGAGGAUGUGCUCGCGGCCUAUCAGCUUGUUGGUGAGGUAACGGCUCACCAAGGCUUCGACGGGUAGCCGGCCUGAGAGGGUGACCGGCCACACUGGGACUGAGACACGGCCCAGACUCCUACGGGAGGCAGCAGUGGGGAAUAUUGGACAAUGGGCGAAAGCCUGAUCCAGCAACGCCGCGUGAGGGAUGACGGCCUUCGGUUGUAAAGCUCUUUCGCUAGGGACGAUAAUGACGGUACCUAGACAAGAAGCCCGGCUAACUUCGUGCCAGCAGCCGC